GACGAACGCUGGCGGCGUGCUUAACACAUGCAAGUCGAACGGAAAGGCCCUGCUUUUGUGGGGUACUCGAGUGGCGAACGGGUGAGUAACACGUGAGUAACCUGCCCUUGACUUUGGGAUAACUUCAGGAAACUGGGGCUAAUACCGGAUAGGAGCUCCUGCUGCAUGGUGUGGGUUGGAAAGUUUCGGCGGUUGGGGAUGGACUCGCGGCUUAUCAGCUUGUUGGUGGGGUAGUGGCUUACCAAGGCUUUGACGGGUAGCCGGCCUGAGAGGGUGACCGGCCACAUUGGGACUGAGAUACGGCCCAGACUCCUACGGGAGGCAGCAGUGGGGAAUAUUGCACAAUGGGCGGAAGCCUGAUGCAGCAACGCCGCGUGCGGGAUGACGGCCUUCGGGUUGUAAACCGCUUUCGCCUGUGACGAAGCGUGAGUGACGGUAAUGGGUAAAGAAGCACCGGCUAACUACGUG
rnacentral:rRNA from 1 species